rnacentral:rRNA from 1 species
UACGGAGGGAGCUAGCGUUGUUCGGAAUUACUGGGCGUAAAGCGCGCGUAGGCGGCGAAUUAAGUCAGAGGUGAAAGCCCGGGGCUCAACCCCGGAACUGCCUUUGAAACUGGCUCGCUAGAAUCUUGGAGAGGUCAGUGGAAUUCCGAGUGUAGAGGUGAAAUUCGUAGAUAUUCGGAAGAACACCAGUGGCGAAGGCGACUGACUGGACAAGUAUUGACGCUGAGGUGCGAAAGCGUGGGGAGCAAACAGGAUUAGAAACCCCAGUAGUCC